AUUUUAUCCGGGUUGCUAACUCAAUGGUAGAGUACUCGGCCGGGUUCGAGUCCCGGGCAACCCA
rnacentral:tRNA from 3 species